rnacentral:lncRNA from 1 species
AUGUAUUAUUUUGUUUUCCAGGAAGAAUCAAUCAUUGGAGGUUACAGAGCUUUAAAUACAUUGCCUUGUAGUCUCCUCAUUUUAUGGAUGAUGAAAUGGAAGUGUGAGAAAAGGGACUAUGUGUUUGCAAGUUCUUCUAGGGAUUCAGAAAACAUCUUCUCUAGAAAUGUAUCCUUUGGACUCAUGAACCCAUAGGCUCACCAGAUGCUGUCAAGAGUCUGUAAAACCAAACUUUUGACUUUGAGUACAUCUUUUUCUCUCUUGAAAAAAAUACAUGUAAACUUCUAAAUAGAUAAUGAAAAUAAAACUUUUGUUUUCCAUGAAUGUUAUGUACCU